rnacentral:lncRNA from 1 species
GUUCUCCUCCUCGUCGCAGUAGAAAUACGGCUGCACCGAGUCGUAGUCGAGGUCAUAGUUCCUGUUGGUGAAGCUAACGUUGAGGGGCAUCGUCGCGGGAGGCUGCUGGAGCGGGGCACACAAAGCGGGAGGCAGUCUUGAGUUAAAGGGGUCUUGGUGCGGAAACCUGGCGCAGCGCGCAGUGCGCGCCACAGUCCCGAACCUCUCCCCUUGCAGAGCUAUCCCCUAAAGCGGCUGGGUGGUCUUGGUGGGGGAAUAAAGGGAGCACCCUUUCACCCCCUUUGGACAGUCCCCUGCUAUCUCGGAGACGCACUUAGUGAACCAGCGGCUUGGUGCCCGCCGAGCCCCCGCUCCCCCGGGAGCCCGGAGCGCAAAGCCCGGGAGUCGGCCCCGCAGCGGCAGAGGAAUCGAAAUCGGCCCUGGCGCCCUUAAGAAGCCGCGGGAGGUGGCGGUGAGGAAAACAAUUUGCCAAAAUCCAAGGCACAAAGUUUUGCGCCACCUGAAGGAGAAGGCGAGAGGCGCCUGGGCGCUAGCGGCUGCGUGAACCCCGCUCCGCGCCGGGGCCCCUCCGCUGCGG